rnacentral:misc_RNA from 1 species
GGUGGUACCAUGAUAAGGAAACCAGGAUUUGAUGAUAGUAUCUCAGAGAAAUCGAGGGAAACGUUCGAAAACCGUAGUGACGACUGGUGCGUUUGUUAUUUUUUUUUCGUCUUCUUACGUUGUAUUACUCGUCGAUAUAGGUAUGUAAUUGAAGUCGGUUUUUCCGUUUACUAGCAAACGCAAUUAUGUCUUUCAGUCUUUGCGUGUGGUAGUUAAUUUCUCCUAUAAUCGUGACAUCUAUAUUAGCAUUACCACUUUAAGAAUUUUCAUAGAUAUUAUUUAUAAUUGCAUAUUGAAAUUAAAAAUUAACGCUGUUAGAUAGAAAACCACACAUGAACGUAAAAAGAAAUAUGUAUAAUGUAUAUAUUCAUAGGUGAGGUGAAAACAGCGAAAGCAAUUACGGCAAAAA